AAGGCCAACGGUGGAUGCCUUGGGAUAGUAUGCCGAGGAAGGACGUCUCUUGUCUGACGAUAGUCGUCGGGGAGCUGACUAAGAAGCUUCGAUCCGGCGGUCUCCGAAUGGGGCAACCCUCCUGCGUGUAAACGCAGGAGCCUCGUGUUUCACACAAGGGAUUUAAGAAUUUAGAUUUAAGAUUUAAGAGUAUUUGUUAUUCAUAAAUCAUACAUCAUACAUCUUGAUUCUCUCGCGUGAAACGCGAGGCGGUAACCCGGUGAAGUGAAACAUCUCAGUAACCGGAGGAAAAGAAAUCGAAUGAGAUUCCGUUAGUAGCGGCGAGCGAAAACGGAACAGUCUAAACCACGUUCAUGCGCGCAAGCGCACUGAACGUGGGGUUGUGGGGCUAUCAAUAAAUGUGAUUGUUUGUUUGGUAGAAGAAUAGUCUGGAAUGUCUGACCAAAGAACGUGAAAGUCGUGUAAUCAAAACCAAACAGCACACAGAGAUAGUUCCCAAGUACCACGGGACACGUGAAACCCUGUGGGAAUCUGGGGCGGCCACGCUCUAAGACUAAAUACAUACUAUCACCGAUAGUGAACAAGUACCGUGAGGGAAAGGUGAAAAGUCCCCCGUUGAGGGGAGUGAAAUAGUACCUGAAACCGUUGGUUAACAAUCAGAGGGAGUCCUGGUUAGCACUCUGUUUAUGAGAAUUUGUGGUAAUUUGCUAUGAUUUGUGUGAAUCCUACGACUUGGAUUUUCACGAAUUACUAGCUAAUUUACACGAAUCUUUCAUGAAUGGAUUGCUAAUCAAGACAACCUCGUGCCUAUUGAAGAAUGAGCCGGUGAGUUUUCAAUUACUGCAUAGGCUAAGGGAGUCUCUUCUGCAGCCAUAGCGAAAGCAAGUCUUAAAAGGGCGUUUAGUAGUAGUUGGAAGACCCGAAACUGGGUGAGCUAACCUUGGACAGGGUGAACCCCGCCGAAAGGCGGGAGGAGUGGUUGGGGGUAGAGCACUGGAUGGUGGACGGGAACUUUGUUUCUGCCUACUAACCAAACUCCGAAUACCAACGCAUGUGGUACAGGACUCAGACGGAUCGGGCUAAGCUGAUCUCGUCAAAAGGGAAACAACCCAGACUAUAGACUAAGGUCCCUAAAACAUAGGGUACCAUUCGGUACCCUACCAGGCGCCGUAUGGUGUCCUGGCGUUAAGUGCUGAAGGAAGUUAUAUUCUUUAGACACCUAGGAGGUUGGCUUAGAAGCAGCCAUCCUUUAAAGAUAGCGUAACAGCUCACUAGAAUAAGGAUAUUGCGCCGAAGAUGAACGGGACUAAACGUGUUACCGAAGUCGUAGAUUUAUAUUUCAUUAUAUAAGUGGUAGGGGAGCGUUCAUAUUGCAGUGAAGGUGGACCGUGAGGUUAGCUGGAGCGAUAUGAAGUGCGAAUGCCGGCAUGAGUAGCGAAAAUUGGGUGAGAAUCCCAAUCGCCGAAAGCCUAAGGUUUCCCACGCAACGUUCGUCGACGUGGGGUUAGUCGGAUCUAAGGGUAUGCCUAUUUGGUAUAUCCGAUGUACAACUGGUUGAUAUUCCAGUACUAGUACUAUAUCGCUAUGAGUAUACGGUGUGACGAAACAGGACAAUUCAGCGCAUGUUACGAGAGUGCGUUUAACAAGUAAGCCAGAUCGGGUAGGCAAAUCCGCCCGGUCGACGGUGAACUUUAUAUGAAGUCUCGCAGCAAUGCGGGACAACUGAAUCUCUGUUCAGUUUCCGAGAAAAGCAUCGUUACCAGAUAUAAUACUAUCCGUACCGUAAACCGACACAGGUGGGUGGAAUGAGUAUUUUCAGGCGAGCAGGAAAACGAUUCUGAAGGAACUCGGCAAAAAAGCUGGGCGUACGCUUUGCAAGAUGCCCUUCCCGUUCAGUUACAUGAACGGGACACAGCAACCGAUUAUUUCUCGACUGUUUAACUAAAACACAGGUCUGUGCUAAGCUGAAAAGCGAUGUAUACAGGCUGAGGCCUGCCCAGUGCCGGAAGGUUAACCAGUUCUUGUGCUUCGCACAAGGGAUUUAAGAAAUAAGAUUUAAGAUUUAAGAAUAAUUUUGUUGUUUAUUCAUACAAUCAUAAAUCAUAAAUCUUGAUUCUCUCGCGCGAAGUGCGAGGAUUGUAAGCCCCGGUAAACGGCAGCAAUAACUAUAAUUGUUCUACGGUAGCGAAGUUCCUUGUCUGGUAAGUUCAGACGCGCACGAAUGGCAUAACGAGGAAAUAACUGUCUCCAGAAUCGACCUGGCGAAAUUGAGAUAGCUGUGAAGACGCGGCUUAGUUGCACCUGGACAAAAAGACCCCGGAAGCUUUACUGUAACUUGACAUUGGCAACUAGACGGUAAUUGUCGAGCGUAGGAGGGACCCGCUACAGCGCGCAAGCGCCUGAGCGGGAUCAAUGAAACACCUCUCUUUGCAAUCUGGAAGCCUAACCCUGCCUUUGGCGGGGAACACUGUUUGGUGGGCAGUUUGGUUGGGGUGACCGCCACCUAAAUUGUAACGGUGGCGCACAAAGGUUGGCUAAUCCCGGAUGGAAAUCGGGAUGAGUCGUGUAAAGGCGUAAGCCAGCUUGACUGCGAGACUUACUAGUCGAGCAGGUGCGAAAGCAGGUCUUAGUGAUCCUCUGGUUCUAUGUGGUAGGGCCAGAGCUUAUCGGCAAUAAGCUACUCCGGGGAUAACAGGCUGGUCUCCUCUAAGCGUCCCUAGCGACGAGGAGGUUCGGCACCUCGAUGUCGGCUCGGCGUAUCCUGGGGGUGGAGAAGCUCCCAAGGGUUGGUCUGUUCGCCCAUUAAAACGCUACGUGAGCUGGGUUCAGAGCGUCGUAAGACAGCUCGGUCUCUAUCCGGUGCAACCGUGAAAGCAUCUCAAGCGUGAAGCCCGUUCCAAGAUGAGGAAUCAUAGGUUCGUGGAAGAUUACCACGUUGAUAGGAGAGUUGGUGUACGGUCGGUAACGACUUUAGCCUUCUCUUACUAAUAUC
rnacentral:rRNA from 1 species